GUACGAAACAUACGAUGCCUCUGCGACC
rnacentral:sRNA from 1 species